CAGCACCUCAAGUGGUCAGGAUGAUUAUUGGGCCUAAAGCAUCCGUAGCCGGCGCUGUAAGUUUUCGGUUAAAUCUGUACGCUCAACGUACAGGCUGCCGGGAAUACUGCAGCGCUAGGGAGUGGGAGAGGUAGACGGUACUCGGUAGGAAGGGGUAAAAUCCUUUGAUCUAUUGAUGACCACCUGUGGCGAAGGCGGUCUACAAGAACACGUCCGACGGUGAGGGAUGAAAGCUGGGGGAGCAAACCGGAUUAGAGACCCGAGUAGUCC
rnacentral:rRNA from 1 species